CGGGGCGUAGCUCAGCCUGGCUAGAGCGCCUGGUUUGGGACCAGGAGGUCGCAUGUUCGAAUCAUGUCGCCCCGACCA
rnacentral:tRNA from 1 species